GGGCUUGUAGCGCAGUCGGUAGCGCGCCGUCUCGGCAGGGCGGAGGUCGGCGGUUCGAUCCCGCCCAGGUCCA
rnacentral:tRNA from 1 species